UACGUAGGGCGCAAGCGUUGUCCGGAAUUAUUGGGGCGUAAAGAGCUCGUAGGCGGUUUGUCGCGUCUGCUGUGAAAACCUAAGGCUCAACCUUGGGCUUGCAGUGGGUACGGGCAGACUAGAGUGCGGUAGGGGUGACUGGAAUUCCUGGUGUAGCGGUGGAAUGCGCAGAUAUCAGGGAGGAACACCCAGUGGCGAAAGGCGGCUCACUGGCCCGUA
rnacentral:rRNA from 1 species